AAGAGCAUAAAAAUAUCCAUAAGAAAAACCUAGAUAUGAAAUUCAAACAAGUUCAACAUAAGAUCCACAACAUCCAAAAACAACUUCCAAAUUCCAAAAAAAAAGCAGUAUUCAAUUCAAAAUGAUAGAGAUCGAGAUGAAAAUCAUUCCUGAGCUCCUUCUUUCUGG